CACCCAUUUCCUCCUCGAUACGGAGAAUCUGGUUAUACUUGGCAAGUCGCUCGGAACGGCAAGGAGCUCCAGUUUUGAUCUGUACACAAAACGUUCGCGUUAUUAUUUGCAUGGAGCAGCAUUCUGUCGCAAAUAAGCACAGCCAAACUCUAUGUAAAUGAACGUACUGGUUCCCCAUCCGUUCUUCUUGGCAAGCAAAUUAGCAUCAAUAGCUUCGGACACAGACCCGAUCUGGUUGACUUUGAGCAACAGACAGUUGCACGCUUUCUUCUCUACGGCAGU